rnacentral:rRNA from 1 species
GACGAACGCUGGCGGCGUGCUUAACACAUGCAAGUCGAACGGAAAGGCCCUGCUUUUGUGGGGUGCUCGAGUGGCGAACGGGUGAGUAACACGUGAGUAACCUGCCCUUGACUUUGGGAUAACUUCAGGAAACUGGGGCUAAUACCGGAUAGGAGCUCCUGCUGCAUGGUGGGGGUUGGAAAGUUUCGGCGGUUGGGGAUGGACUCGCGGCUUAUCAGCUUGUUGGUGGGGUAGUGGCUUACCAAGGCUUUGACGGGUAGCCGGCCUGAGAGGGUGACCGGCCACAUUGGGACUGAGAUACGGCUCAGACUCCUACGGGAGGCAGCAGUGGGGAAUAUUGCACAAUGGGCGGAAGCCUGAUGCAGCAACGCCGCGUGCGGGAUGACGGCCUUCGGGUUGUAAACCGCUUUCGCCUGUGACGAAGCGUGAGUGACGGUAAUGGGUAAAGAAGCACCGGCUAACUACGUGCCAGCAGCCGCGGUGAUACGUAGGGUGCGAGCGUUGUCCGGAUUUAUUGGGCGUAAAGGGCUCGUAGGUGGUUGAUCGCGUCGGAAGUGUAAUCUUGGGGCUUAACCCUGAGCGUGCUUUCGAUACGGGUUGACUUGAGGAAGGUAGGGGAGAAUGGAAUUCCUGGUGGAGCGGUGGAAUGCGCAGAUAUCAGGAGGAACACCAGUGGCGAAGGCGGUUCUCUGGGCCUUUCCUGACGCUGAGGAGCGAAAGCGUGGGGAGCGAACAGGCUUAGAUACCCUGGUAGUCCACGCUGUAAACGGUGGGUACUAGGUGUGGGGUCCAUUCCACGGGUUCCGUGCCGUAGCUAACGCUUUAAGUACCCCGCCUGGGGAGUACGGCCGCAAAGCUAAAACUCAAAGGAAUUGACGGGGCCCCGCACAAGCGGCGGAGCAUGCGGAUUAAUUCGAUGCAACGCGUAGAACCUUACCUGGGUUUGACAUGGAUCGGGAGUGCUCAGAGAUGGGUGUGCCUCUUUUGGGGUCGGUUCACAGGUGGUGCAUGGCUGUCGUCAGCUCGUGUCGUGAGAUGUUGGGUUAAGUCCCGCAACGAGCGCAACCCUUGUUCACUGUUGCCAGCACGUUAUGGUGGGGACUCAGUGGAGACCGCCGGGGUCAACUCGGAGGAAGGUGGGGAUGACGUCAAGUCAUCAUGCCCCUUAUGUCCAGGGCUUCACGCAUGCUACAAUGGCUGGUACAGAGAGUGGCGAGCCUGUGAGGGUGAGCGAAUCUCGGAAAGCCGGUCUCAGUUCGGAUUGGGGUCUGCAACUCGACCUCAUGAAGUCGGAGUCGCUAGUAAUCGCAGAUCAGCAACGCUGCGGUGAAUACGUUCCCAGGGCU